ACAACAUUAGGACAGUCAGUAUUCCGAGCAAUAUCACCCGCUGGAAGAUCUUCCUUUUGUCUU
rnacentral:pre_miRNA from 1 species